GCAAAUCGCUGCCAUCACCGCCUCUUAAAUCUGCACCAGCAGUAGCCACUGUUGUUCGCUGUUCAGCAGGAUUGGAGCCGCCUCGCCGCUGUUGUCUGUCGGCGGUCAGUUUCUCCGUCGGCAGCGCCGCUUCUCCAACCAUUAUUAAUGGGCAUCAAGAAUUUGAGAUUGGAAGAAAUAAAAGACAACAUCUAAGCAUUAAAGAUUGAGACUUUAAUAAAUCAUUCAACAAAUUCCCAAGGGUGAAUUAAAUUCUCAUGGAGGAACUACCGUGAAUCAUGAAAAUAUGCAGCAGGAAAUUCAUAGGUAAUUGGGAGGGAUAUACCUUUUUGGAAGGGAGAAAGAUUUUGCAAUUGCAGGAAGGAAUGAAACUCACGGCUUUCUCUACUCCCUUUGCUAUCUCAGAAUUUGGAGGAAAGGUAAAGGUUGUGGAACGGUCUGGGUGUAUAUAUAUAUUACUAUGGAUGUGUGUAUCUUUAAAGAUUGGAUUUGGUUUGUUGGAGAGAUUUUAGGGAAGAUGGAGAUAUGGGAAAUCGUUUGGUGGGUUUGGAGAGAUAUAUUUGACUAAGUCAACUAAGAAAAGAUUUAACUAGAUUAGUUUGAUUUUAUUAUUUUAUUA